rnacentral:tRNA from 1 species
AAUUGGCAGACGCACCAGACUUAGGAUCUGGCGCCUAUGGCGUGGGGGUUCGACUCCCUUCAUCCGCA